CUUUUGUGGGGUGCUCGAGUGGCAAACGGGUGAGUAACACGUGAGUAACCUGCCCUUGACUUUGGGAUAACUUCAGGAAACUGGGGCUAAUACCGGAUAGGAGCUCCUGCUGCAUGGUGGGGGUUGGAAAGUUUCGGCGGUUGGGGAUGGACUCGCGGCUUAUCAGCUUGUUGGUGGGGUAGUGGCUUACCAAGGCUUUGACGGGUAGCCGGCCUGAGAGGGUGACCGGCCACAUUGGGACUGAGAUACGGCCCAG
rnacentral:rRNA from 1 species